UUGGCGCGGCGGAUAUUAGUUGUUGUUGUUUUACGUAAAAAUCCAGUCAUACGCAUUGUGGAAAGGAAGAUGGCAUUUUGCAAUAAAAUAAAUAAACUAUAAGGAAGUGCUUAAAAUACUACAUGCAAAUAAACUAGCAAAGCGGUAGUGCAAGUGAUUGAUUCUUGGGAAAAAAUAGUGAAGAAUUGAUAUAGGUGUUAAACGAAAGCAGAAAUAGAAUUAGAAAAUAAAAUAUAAACCGAAUGCUAUUUGAAAUCUUUUAAAAGUUAACUAAGUUCAAAUUUUUGAAGAUUUCCGUGGGUGUCUGUUUUAUAAAAAAGUUUAAACAAAUUGUUUUCAUACAAUUAAUUAAAACAUUAAAAUGUUUUAAAACUAAAUUUGUGUUAAAAACGUGAUCGACCGUCUUGCUUCUGUCAAUCUCUUGUGUUUCUGGCAUUUGGCUUGUUUUUGUUUUUGAUUUGUUUUUAUUAUUCUUGUUUGUUUCUUGUUCGAUCAUUCGUCGCCGUCUAAACGGUUGUUGUUCAUAUUCGACGAUUUUAUUUACAUAUUUGUUUAUUUAUAUUACGGAAUUUGUUUAUAAUAAAAAUUCCCCAACAUCAGCAAGUGAGGAGAAAAAAAAUACAUAGGAAAAAAAAAACUCGCGCUCCCCCUUGUGCGUAUGCUCACAUCAAUUCUCACUUGCCAUAGUUAGCAAGCUAGCGGGCGCGCGCAUUGCUUGUGCCAUUCAGUGAAUAUUGAAUAGAUUUUAUGAAUGAAUAAAGAAUAACUGUGGCGGUGACGACAAACAACAACGAACGAGCGACCGGCUAGCAGAAAUAUUGUUUUGAUACCAGAUUUCCUUGGCAAACAAAAACUCUAAGAAAUAAAAGUAUCCAACAAUAUAAUCAAAAGGAAGUUACAAAUUUAAUUUCUAAAACAAAAG